rnacentral:lncRNA from 1 species
AAGCAACUAAAACCUACCUGCCUGCGCUGCCUUUUACUGUAGUGUUAUCCCAACCCCUGCUUUCAGCCCAGUGCUGGACAUAGCACGGAGAGUGAAAACAACAACAACAACAGCCUAUCCUCCUGGGCUCUCUCGGGGAAGAAAUGAUUCGGCAAAAAUUCAAGCUAGAGGAAUUUGUCAAACCUGUCUUGCCCCAACCAGAAGACCUGCUGACCUCUCAGGCUAAAAAUACCAUGAUGCAUCUCACCGGCCAGAACCACCGUCUAGCGUCUAAAAAUGUAUGUCAUUCCAAAACACCUAAACUCCAUCUGUCAGCCACACAGGGAGGGGAAGAGGAGGUGGUGAUGGUGGGUCCGCUUAAGACUGGCUCUGCCAUGCUGCCAACACUGGGCCAAGAGGGCCCUGCCACCCAGAGAGACUCCUCGCUCCUAGUCAGGUCUUCCCUGCCUGGCUCAUCCCGACCGAGGGAGGGGGAGAACCUGCCUCCGCGGCGGCCUCUGAAGCUGGCCCCUCUGGAGCUGCCCAGGGAGGUACAGAAGGCCCAUAGACAGAAGAUGAAGGGGAUUGGGCUGGAGGCCAAGGCUGCUUCCCGCAAACUGGACACUACAGUGGGGGACCAACCCUGCCCCGGGAAGGUGAAGGCCUAUGGGGUGAGAGGAGAGAGACCAGAACUGGUUAAAGGUGCGGCAGAGUGUGUCUCCACCCCAGCCCCACGUCCCCUGCCCCUGAAUGAAACAGCACCCAGAGUCCAGCGACAGCAGAAGGUUCUGAGAGCGGAGCUUGCUCAUGCCAACCCAAUCCAGAGACACACAGGAGAAAGACUCUCAGAAGAUAUUGGCUCUACCAUUAAAGACUUCCAUCCUCCUCCUAGAAGCAAACCAGUCUCUCCCUCUGCCUCUUUCCCCAUCAGUGCCAAAGCUCAGGCCCAGCAGGGCACUAGCACCACGUGGCGAGGAGAGCGUAUGCCAAGCUGCUGGCCCGUUCCAGCAGGAGACCGGCAAAAAGAGGCUGCGUCUGAGGAGGGCAGAGCGCCUUGAGGAGGAUCAGAGCAAAUCUAACAUGUCAACAGAAGGAUUACCUGGGGAAGAGGCCAAGCUGGCCCAAGGGUUCCAGCAGGGAAAAGCCCUGAAGGUAGAGAAGACAGAGAAGACUAGGAGGACAGAGAAAGCCCUGAAGGAGGCCAGUCGCAUGCUGGAGAAGGCUUCCAGGAAGAACGUCAGGCCGGAAUCACUGGAGAACCCGCUGGAAGUGUCCGGAAAGGCCCUCAGGAGGAUGGCAGUGAGCAACCUCCAGGACGCUGUUCUUUGACCUCUGACCCAGGAUCUUUGACCUCUUAACCCCUGACUCCCUUUGACCAGCCCAGGAAGUCGUGAAAACAGACUUGACAGUGUUAAACCGUGUGUUUACUUGUUUUUAUCACCUGGAAAUGACUUUAGAAAAGCCCCUGCAUCUUACUUCACAUAGCAUCUGGUAUUCAUAGCAACAAGCCAGUUACAUUGCCAAGUACCCUGGCAGGCAGUAUCUAUAGUAUAUAAAACAGGAUAAAUAUAGAAGUAUAUUAUGAACCAUAUGUAUUUAAUAUUUUGUAGAAAGAUGAUUGUAAUAAAAAUGUUUGCAUGCCAACAUGGUACCAUUAGAAUAAAAUAAUGUAAAAAAAAUUGUGACAUUUAACCAUCGUAGAUAUUCUGACAUAGGCUAUUCAAUCUCAUAUUUUGGAUGAGAUAUGUCUGCAUAUGCAGGUGACAUAAUUGUAUUUGUGCUUCACAGCGUAUGUAAAGCUAUGCGAAACUGACAUGCAUUCAGGGAUUAUCAUCACGGGCUCAUCAAACCGAUACAUUGGCUUCAUCUACGACCCCCGAAACAGCUCCAUCUACACCAAACAAUGGCAUUGAGUAGUAACAUAGCAGAACUCACAAAACAGAGCCGCAACAGUAAUCGGAUGUUUACAUUGACAACAGCAAAUAAAGUUCAUGAGAUUUGAAA